AGAGUUUGCAUCGAAAAAGUCACUUGUUCCUCGUGGUAUAAAAGCAUCAUUAGAUGAUUUAUAUAGGAAGAUCAAAAAAUAUGAUAUGUUCGUUCUGAAAUUUAUAGUGUACUGCGAAGACACAGAUUUAUAUAUAUUAGAAAAGAAGAAAAGAUCAAUCGACUUCAUUAACGAAACCUUAAAGGAAACACUGGAAUUUGCGAAUACCAAAUUGCCGUGAACACCAUAGAGAUUCAAAAGCAGCAUAUUUACCAAAAAAUGCAAACAAUUGCUGUUGUUUAUUGAAAAUAGUUAAUUUGAGAUCACGAAAACAAACAUUUACAUUUAUUUUGAUGUGAUUCUCAACUGUCUUGCUAAUUUGGUUUAAGUUUUCUAGUGUUACGAUCUCUCUCCAGCAGUUAACAGUUUUAGUGAUCAUAUAAUAGUUUUGAGAUAUUUGUUUGGGAUGUGUUACCUUACGGAAUUUCUGUCCCCUUUGCCAAUAAUAUAAUAUAGGAAAUAUGUGAAUAAAAAUCGUUUGUUCUUACGAGUUUCACUUUCAUUGAAUUGGUUUCGCUGGCUAUGAUGAAAUAAUCGAAUACUUUCGAUCAAAGGUACAUAGAUAUUUGCCUCUUUUCCUGAUAAAUCACAAUACGGCUGUCAUCUUAUUAAAUGCAAAGAAA